rnacentral:snoRNA from 1 species
AGGCCAUGAUGGGGACACUUGCGUAAUAGCUCCUUGAACCUUUCCCAUGUUUCAUAUAAGGAUUCCCCGUCCUCUUGUGAGUAUGUGUUAAUUUCAGCCAGGGAGGGU